rnacentral:rRNA from 1 species
UGGGGAAUCUUCCGCAAUGGGCGAAAGCCUGACGGAGCAACGCCGCGUGAGUGAAGACGGCCUUCGGGUUGUAAAGCUCUGUUAUUCGGGAAGAAAGAGUCGCUUGUGAACAAUGAGCGAAAGUGACGGUACCGAAAGAGAAAGCCACGGCUAACUACGUGCCAGCAGCCGCGGUAAUACGAAGGGGGCUAGCGUUGUUCGGAUUUACUGGGCGUAAAGCGCACGUAGGCGGACUUUUAAGUCAGGGGUGAAAUCCCGGGGCUCAACCCCGGAACUGCCUUUGAUACUGGAAGUCUUGAGUAUGGUAGAGGUGAGUGGAAUUCCGAGUGUAGAGGUGAAAUUCGUAGAUAUUCGGAGGAACACCAGUGGCGAAGGCGGCUCACUGGACCAUUACUGACGCUGAGGUGCGAAAGCGUGGGGAGCAAACAGG